UCAGUUUUAACUAAUAUUAAUAAAACUAUAAAUCCCUGUGCCAAAUCUUUAUGAGGGUGUAUGUUUUCAUUUCUCUUAGGAGUGGAAUUGCUGGGAUCGGAUAGAGCGUC